CAGUCGCCGCGGUAAUACGUAGGUGGCAAGCGUUAUCCGGAAUUAUUGGGCGUAAAGCGCGCGUAGGCGGUUUUUUAAGUCUGAUGUGAAAGCCCACGGCUCAACCGUGGAGGGUCAUUGGAAACUGGAAAACUUGAGUGCAGAAGAGGAAAGUGGAAUUCCAUGUGUAGCGGUGAAAUGCGCAGAGAUAUGGAGGAACACCAGUGGCGAAGGCGACUUUCUGGUCAGUAACUGACGCUGAUGUGCGAAAGCGUGGGGAUCAAACAGGAUUAGAUACCCGCGUAGUCCCUGUCUCUUAUAC
rnacentral:rRNA from 1 species